UUAUUUUUUAUUUUCUUAUCCCUUUCCCCUUUCUUCUUCUUCCCUCACGCAACCCUCCUCCAUCUUGUUUUGCUUCUCUUCACGCCACCAACGCCACAGCAAUCACUGCCACCAUCCGACGAGCGGAAGCACCGUCGAGUUUGCCAGAUUUGAAGCUGUUCACCGUGUCACUUCCCUCAGACACCGAUCAACCCUCAUCCGUCAGCCGCGACCAUCUGCUCUAGCCCAUCGCGAGCAUCUGUCGCCCACGCCGUUAACGCGAGCCUCCUGUCAUACGUCCGCUUAGAUCUGAAGCCUGGCUGUUUGCGAACCUGUCCAAUACCGCCCGAAGUCACUGCAUCACUUUCUUUUUUACGUCCUCUGUCCAACCACUACUUAAGCAUCGUUCACUCUUGCCAGCACCGGAUCUAUCGAUUUGGGUAAGAUUGUGCUAUUUUAAUUGGAUUGUUUGGCCAAUGGUGUUUUGCUUCAAUCUAUUGAUAUAAAUUUGUUUGGGCUUUAAAAUCGAGCUUUGGAGAAGUUUUGAAGUUAAAAGUGUGCUGUCAAGAAGAUUUGGAAGUGGUUUCGACAAGCUUUUGGGUAAGUUUUGGGGUCUUUGUUGAUCAUUUUUGGAUACCCACUAAGUAAUGGCUUAUUUAUUAUUUCAGUUGUGAUAUAAAAGGUUGGAAUUAAAGGUUCAAAGUAGCUAGGUUGGAUUUGUGAUUAGAGUUAUUGAGAUGUAUUGAUUUUGUAGCAUGAGGUGAUGUACGUGCCAACACACUUUGGGCCUGAUUCAAGAUUCAUCUAAGUUAGGAGGAAUAUUAAUGCUUGUCGCUAAGACAUAAUUUUGAGAUUCACCAGAUCGUGUUUCCUUCGAGAUUCAUCAGAUAUUGUGUUUCCUUCGGGAU